AUGAAGAAGGUGAAGAUUGAAGCUGUGAAGAAGUCAAGAAGAAUGAGUCGAGAGCGAAGUGAUAAAGGUUGAGGUGAAGAUGAAGAAAAAAAGAUUGAAGAUUGAAGGAGAGUGAGAGCUAUGUAGAGGUUAGUGAGUUGCAGGUCUGAUGUAAACGCAAGGUAGCUUGCAUAACACACUUAUUCAACACUUGGAUACCAAUGGUUACAUGGUGCAUUUAAAAUCAAUAGAUCAUGGAGGUCCAAAUGAAGAUGAACGAAAAAGCUUUGAAGAUUCAAAAGAGGAUGGGCUCAGCACGGGUCUAUGACUCGGAGUCUAGAUCUUCGGUCAAUGGCUGGUCAAUUGUAUAGGGAGUCAACGGUCUUGGUCAACAAUUGACUACAAAAAAGUCAACUGUAGUUUUUUUGUGUGUGUGUAAUGGAUGAACUUUGAAUGUUGUAAUGAUAAUUGGAAUUUGUAAUGGAAUGUCUCCUUUUGUAUGACAA